AUUGAACGCUGGCGGCAUGCCUUACACAUGCAAGUCGAACGGCAGCGCGGGAGCAAUCCUGGUGGCGAGUGGCGAACGGGUGAGUAAUAUAUCGGAACGUGCCCAGUCGUGGGGGAUAACGUAGCGAAAGCUACGCUAAUACCGCAUACGAUCUAUGGAUGAAAGCGGGGGAUCGCAAGACCUCGCGCGAUUGGAGCGGCCGAUAUCAGAUUAGGUAGUUGGUGAGGUAAAGGCUCACCAAGCCGACGAUCUGUAGCUGGUCUGAGAGGACGACCAGCCACACUGGGACUGAGACACGGCCCAGACUCCUACGGGAGGCAGCAGUGGGAAUUUUGGACAAUGGGCGCAAGCCUGAUCCAGCAAUGCCGCGUGCAGGAUGAAGGCCUUCGGGUUGUAAACUGCUUUUGUACGGAACGAAACGGUGAGCUCUAAUACAGUUUGCUAAUGACGGUACCGUAAGAAUAAGCACCGGCUAACUACGUG
rnacentral:rRNA from 1 species